rnacentral:lncRNA from 1 species
UGUGCCUCCAAUUGCAGGGCGGUGCUCUCCCCAACCCUUGGGGUGUCAUGGUCUACUCUGCAAGCACACAGCAGACAAAUUCGGGAAAAUGUGUCAUCAAGUUCAAGUUUUCAUCUAGUGUGGAAGGAGCUUCUUGCAGCACGGCACUGAAUGUGAGCCACCGGGAAACAUCGCCACCUAAGAAGUUACUUUCAGCAUCCCAAGGUGAGUCAGGGUUUAUUUUGUUUCUCUGCUUGGAUGUGAGACCUUUCAUUUGCGCCUUGU